rnacentral:tRNA from 1 species
AGAAGUAACACUAAGAAGUUAUGGCUGCUAACUAUGAUUUGAGUAGGUAAUUCUAUUCUUACUUUUA